UACGUAGGGUGCGAGCGUUGUCCGGAAUUAUUGGGCGUAAAGAGCUUGUAGGCGGUUUGUCGCGUCUGCUGUGAAAUCUCAAGGCUCAACCUUGAGCUUGCAGUGGGUACGGGCAGACUAGAGUGUGGUAGGGGAGAGUGGAAUUCCCGGUAUAGAGGUGAAAUUCGUAGAUAUCGGGAGGAACACCAGUGGCGAAGGCGGGUCUCUGGACAGUUCCUGACGCUGAGGCACGAAGGUCAGGGGAGCAAACGGG
rnacentral:rRNA from 1 species